GCGGUAAUUCCGCCCGCGACGGCGCCCCCCAGCCUCGCGACGCCGCCACCCCCUCCCCCGCGGUAGUACGGCCAGGCUGCUCGCAAGAUCGCCAGACUUUCCGCCGCCUCCUCCCUCACGACACGCCCCCCUUGCGGCAGCGCCACCCCGCGACCCCGCCGUGGCACCUGCCUCCUCGCCCCUCUGCGGCUCCUCCACCGGUGCCCCACUCAGCUGCGCGCGCCUUGAGUAUGCCGGCGGCCAAGGAUGGGUCUUGGGGCGGCCUCUUCCGCGCCCGCUUGACCCCACCCACUUCCUCGCUGCCUGUCGUGGGCGCAUCGGAGCCGGCAGCGGGAAGUGCCGGAGCUGGCCACGAGCGGGGGUGGCGCUAGCUCCAGUCGCCGUUGCACCAUCCGAUUCGAGCCAGGCGGAGCUCGAGUAGCGCGUGGGAUGGGAGUGGGUCUACGGGAAGGUCCCCAUCCCCAUCCAUGGCAGCCGGAGGCGGGGAGAGCAGGGGCGGACGACGGGCGGAGGCAUCGUUGAAGGGGGCGGGGCGCCGGAGGUGUGGAAGGCAGGGGAGAGCUGGUAGUGGCGGCUCAGGGUAGUGCUCGUCGAUUUGUCGUCGCCCAUCUUCCCAAUCCUUAUCCACUUGUGGUCCCUCCCUCCUCUCUCUCGCUCUCGCGGAUCCAGCAGGCGAAACACGAGGCGGCGGCGCGGUCUAGCGAAGGAAGGCAAUGGCGGCGGCGGCACUGCCGGCAGGGGAAGGUACGGCGGCGCGGAACAUGCGGAGAUCCUGAUGGCGCGGAGCCCGGCGAAGGCGGCGGCGGUGCGGCCUCGCCUGGGAGGGAUUCCCAAUCCCUUGCCCGCUCCGUCUGCUUGUCGCCUCCAAGAUCCAGUUGCCCGCAAGCUUUGCGUUCUUCCUUGUCAUGGCAGAGGCGCAAGGAGAACAAGGAUGUACGAGGCAAAUGCGACGGCGACAGAGAGCACAGCAAAGACGUCAUCAACGUCAAAGUCGUUGGUGCCAAUUGAUCAACGUGGUGAUCUGCAAUUAGAUGAAGAUCACUAGGUCCAUUGCUCCGUGCAAGGUAUAGAUGGCAUACAUACAGGUUUGUGAAGCCCGUGAGGAAUUGCCAUAUAUGGUCUGAUGAUUGUCAUGAUUGAGGGUCUGAACCAACAACCAACAGCAAUGAUUUCAGAGGAUGUAAUCAGUAGACUGUCUAACUGCUAUCAUCAAUGAUUAUAUUGGAGGAAUAUAAUGAUGAGAUCGUGAACUAAACUCUGAAUUUCGGUGGGGAAGGGUGACGGCAACAAGGCAUCGCAAGUGGCAGACUGCAAGGAAUUUAUUGCAGAACGGUAAAAGAACUGAAACUUCUGCGCAAUUGGAUUGGAAAGGCACGCAUGGUUACUUUCUUGUACAUUAUUUUUUUCGACGAACUUUCUUGUACAUUUUAUUACUCUUGUAUAUUUUUGCAACCAAUUAUCUCAAUACCAGUUGUUAACAAUAAAUAAAUUUGUAAAGGAAUUCCUAUUAGUGUACACUCUUUGUAUAUUGCAGAACUUCAUUUUACAACUCACUUUGGAUGUA